rnacentral:rRNA from 1 species
UACGGGGGGGGCAAGCGUUGUUCGGAAUUACUGGGCGUAAAGGGCUCGUAGGCGGCCAACUAAGUCGGAUGUGAAAUCCCCAGGCUUAACCUGGGAACUGCAUCCGAUACUGGAUGGCUUGAAUUCGGGAGAGGGAUGCAGAAUUCCAGGUGUAGCGGUGAAAUGCGUAGAUAUCUGGAGGAAUACCGAUGGCGAAGGCAGCCUCCUGGGCCAACACUGACGCUCAUGCACGAAAGCGUGGGGAGCAAACAGG